GACGAACGCUGGCGGCGUGCUUAACACAUGCAAGUCGAACGAAGUGGCGCACGGGUGAGUAACGCGUAAUCAACCUGCCCUUCAUAGGCGGACAACAGUUGGAAACGACUGCUAAUACCGCAUACUGAUGGAGUGGAUUGCGUCUGAUUAGCUAGUUGACGUGGUAACGGCACACGAAGGCGAUGAUCAGUAGGCGGACUGAGAGGAUGAGGGGCCACAUUGGGAUUGGGACACGGCCCAGACUCCUACGGGAGGGAGCAGCGGGGAAUCUUCCGCAAUGGACGAAAGUCUGACGGAGCAACGGCGCGUGAGUGAUGACGGCCUUCGGUUUGUAAAGCUCUGUUAAUCGGGACGCGGUACCGGAAUAGAAAGCCACGGCUAACUACGUGCCAGCAGCCGCGGUAAUUC
rnacentral:rRNA from 1 species